UACGAAGGGGGCUAGCGUUGCUCGGAAUCACUGGGCGUACAGGGUGCGUAGGCGGUUCUUUAGGUCAGGGGUGAAAUCCUGGAGCUCAACUCCAGAACUGCCUUUGAUACUGAAGAUCUUGAGUUCGGGAGAGGUGAGUGGAACUGCGAGUGUAGAGGUGAAAUUCGUAGAUAUUCGCAAGAACACCAGUGGCGAAGGCGGCUCACUGGCCCGAUACUGACGCUGAGGCACGAAAGCGUGGGGAGCAAACAGG
rnacentral:rRNA from 1 species